GGGGAUGUGGCUCAGCAGUAGAGCACUUGCCUAUUUUGCAUGAAGCCCUGAAUUCAAUCCCCAGCAUCACAA
rnacentral:tRNA from 1 species